UUACGACUACAUAUCAGGCAUAUCAAUAAGCGGAGGAAAAGAAACUAACAAGGAUUCCCCUAGUAACGGCGAGUGAAGCGGGAAGAGCUCAAAUUUGAAAUCUUAAAGGGUUUCCCUUUACGAAUUGUAGUUUAAAGAAGUGUUUUCUGUUGGAGUUUCGGUAAAAGUUCUUUGGAAUAGGACAUCAUAGAGGGUGAGAAUCCCGUAUUUGACCGUUACUUUCCAGCUGUGUGAUACACUUUCAAAGAGUCGGAUUGUUUGGGAAUGCAGUCCAAGAUGGGUGGUAAAUUUCAUCUAAAGCUAAAUAUUGGCGAGAGACCGAUAGCGAACAAGUACCGUGAGGGAAAGAUGAAAAGAACUUUGAAAAGAGAGUUAAACAGUACGUGAAAUUGUCAAAAGGGAAGCGUUUGACACCAGUGUUGUUUUUCCAAAAAUCAAUUACGAAUGGCUUGAUUUUGUGCUGUAUUGACCUUAUCAGCUUUCUUCACUUUUUUCGAGUCUUUCUUAAUGCACUUUUUCGGUUAACAAGUCAACAUCAAUUUCUUUUGUUGUAAAAGAGUAUUCGGAAGGUGGCUUUCUUUUCGGAGAAAGUGUUUAUAGCCCUAUACUUCUACAAUCGGAGAGAUUGAGGUCUGCAGCGUAGAUCCUUCGGGGUUAGAUACAUUUGUGCUAAGUUGUAGCUUUUCAUAGACAACUUGUUGACUAUGUUUAGUCAUGCGGCUUACUCGCUUAUGCUACUUUACCUACGCUUAGGAUGUUGAGUAGCGACAUACGCAC
rnacentral:rRNA from 1 species